rnacentral:rRNA from 1 species
AAAAUUUUAUUUAUUUAUAUGUUAGUAUUGCAUACUAUUUUAGGAAAUUUAUAUUUUUAUAUAAAAUAGAAAUAAAAGGUUUAAGGUUUGUUUUGAUUUUUUGUUACAAAAAUAAUUAUAGCAAAUUUAGUGUUGAUAUAUCGUCUUUUAUUAUAUCUGUUUUGGUUUUUGAUAUUAGAAAAUUAUAUCUUUUUAGUUUUUGUUUUGGUAUUUAUAAUUUGAAGUUUUUUAUUUACGAGUGUUAUUACUCUACCAAAUUAUUUUUAUUAUUAUUAUUUUUUUGUAUAAAUUUUUAUACAAUUUAUUAUCUAAAUAUUAGUAAACAAUAAAAUAAAGUUUUUUAUUUUAAUAUAGAUUGAGAAAUUGAUGUCUUGAUCAAAUGUUUAUUAAAGACUUAGGAUUUAUUUUAAAUCUGUCUUCUGCCCUAUGAUUUUUAAAUGGCAGUCUUAGCGUGAGGACAUUAAGGUAGCAAAAUAAUUUGUGCUUUUAUUGGGUUCCAGUAUGAAUGAAGAAUAUGGUUAGUUAUCUUCUUUCUUUUUGUUGAAUUUAAUUUUUAUCUAAUAAAAGAUAAAUAUAUUAAAACAAAGAUAAGUCUUCGGAAAUUCUUUUUUAAAGGUUUAUUUUUUUUCUUUUAAAAGUUUUCUAGGGAAGAAAUAUUAUAUAAUUUUUUUUUACUAUUUUUAUUUUAAAGAAUUACUCCGGAGUUAACAGAAAAUCAUACCUUAUAUAGUUCUUAUAUUAGUGGUAAGUUUUACAUCGAUGUUGUAUUCUCAUAAACCAAGGAAGAAGAAGAUUUGGUAUUUAAGACUGUUCUUCUUUUAGAUAAUGAGACGUGAUAUUAGUUUAAUUCAUUGUGAGAUAGAAUUGUUUAUCUUGUUUAUUAUUUUUUUUUAUAUUGAUUAGUACGAAAGGAAUUUCAUAAAAGUUUUAAACUAUUUAAAUGUUUUUAUUUUU